UACGUAGGCAGCGAGCGUUGUUCGGAGUUACUGGGCGUAAAGGGUGUGUAGGCGGUUCUCUAAGUUUGGUGUGAAAUCUCCCGGCUCAACCGGGAGGGUGCGCCGAAAACUGGGGGGCUAGAGUGCGGGAUGGGAGAGUGGAAUUCCUGGUGUAGCGGUGAAAUGCGUAGAUAUCAGGAGGAACACCGGUGGUGUAGACGGCUCUCUGGACCGUAACUGACGCUGAGACACGAAAGCGUGGGUAGCAAACAGGAUUAGAUACCCUGGUAGUCCACGCCCUAAACGAUGCAUAUUUGGUGUAGGUCAUUCAGUUGAUCUGUGCCGGAGCUAACGCGUUAAAUAUGCCGCCUGGGGAGUACAGUCGCAAGGCUGAAACUCAAAGGAAUUGACGGGGGCCCGCACAAGCGGUGGAGCAUGUGGUUCAAUUCGACGCAACGCGAAGAACCUUACCUGGGCUCGAACGGCUUCUUAACGGCGGUGGAAACAUCGCUAUCCCGCAAGGGAGUGGAGUCGAGGUGCUGCAUGGCUGUCGUCAGCUCGUGUCGUGAGAUGUUGGGUUAAGUCCCGCAACGAGCGCAACCCUCGUCCUGUGUUGCCAUGCCGAAAGGCGGAACUCGCAGGAGACCGCCAGCGAUAAGCUGGAGGAAGGUGGGGAUGACGUCAAGUCCUCAUGGCCUUUAUGUCCAGGGCUACACACGUGCUACAAUGGCCGGUACAAAGGGCUGCCACUUGGCGACAAGGAGCUAAUCCCAAAAACCCUUUCUCAGUUCAGAUCGCAGUCUGCAACUCGACUGCGUGAAGCUGGAAUCGCUAGUAAUCGUAUAUCAGCAAUGAUACGGUGAAUACGUUCCCGGACCU
rnacentral:rRNA from 1 species